UGAAGAACUGAAACCAACAUUUCCUGUACCUCCGAGGAACAUGAAUUUAAGAAGAAAUCUGAGAUGUUUCACUGCCAGUUUAAGAACUUAAAAGAUGUCUGCAAGUACUUCAGGAACCACUGGGAGACAAUUGGUCAUCUGUGGUCUAACUUCGGAAGAUGUUAUAAGCAUGGAGACUCUGACACAAACAAUCUAAUAGAACGUUUCUUCCACCGUUUAAAAUACCAAUUCCUCUGUGGCAUCCGCAAUCGUAGAUUGGAUCAUUUGAUUGCUGUGCUGCUGAACAAGACUGACAAGUACUUCAAUAUAAUACAGGAUUUGCAGUCUGUUGGGAGGGUCAGUAACCCUUUGGAAUGCAAAAUGGAAGAAAUAAAGCAAUCUGCUGAGAGGAUGCUAGAGAAUGGAUGGGCCAUGAAAAUUACCAUAGCUUCAAAAGAAACAUAUGUAUACAAUGUUCCAUCUGAGAAUAAUCCACAUAUAGUUUACUGUGUGUGUCCUGCAGAACAGUUCUGCAGUUGUGAAGCUGGUAAAAGGGCACAUACGUGUAAGCAUCUCUUUUUAUUAAGUCUUCUCACUUGCUGUGGUCCUGAGAAUUUUCCAGACAUGGACACACAACUGCAGGCCCAUGCCAAUAACUUGAUUCGAACAAAUAAGUAUAGCAUUACUGCAAAGCCUCAAAAAACAAUAGAGGUUGAAAGUUUAUUUGGAAGAGCAGCAUCAAAACCGUGUAUUGUGACAAGUAUAUGUGACUGCUGUACUUUCUCAUACCAUAAAAAAUGUGCUUGUCUACUGCUUGCGAAGGGACUUCUGAAUGAGGUGAUUGAGACAAAAUCAAGAAGUUCUAUGAACAAUUCAGUAGAGCCGAUACAAAAUGAAAUUGAGAAUGAAAGUGCAUAUGAAGAUAUGCGUCGUACAACUAUCAGGAAACUGGAAAGCGUACUGAA